rnacentral:rRNA from 1 species
UUGAACGCUGGCGGCAUGCCUUACACAUGCAAGUCGAACGGUAGAGGGGCAACCCUUGAGAGUGGCGAACGGGUGAGUAAUAUAUCGGAACGUGCCCAGUCGUGGGGGAUAACGCAGCGAAAGCUGCGCUAAUACCGCAUACGAUCUAAGGAUGAAAGCGGGGGAUCGCAAGACCUCGCGCGAUUGGAGCGGCCGAUAUCAGAUUAGGUAGUUGGUGGGGUAAAAGCCCC